rnacentral:rRNA from 1 species
AGUGAACGCUGGCGGUAGGCCUAACACAUGCAAGUCGAACGGCAGCACAGUAAGAGCUUGCUCUUACGGGUGGCGAGUGGCGGACGGGUGAGGCAUACAUCGGAAUCUACUUUUUCGUGGGGGAUAACGUAGGGAAACUUACGCUAAUACCGCAUAUGACCUACGGGUGAAAGCAGGGGAUCUUCGGACCUUGCGCGAUUGAAUGAGCCGAUGUCGGAUUAGCUAGUUGGCGGGGUAAAGGCCCACCAAGGCGACGAUCCGUAGCUGAUCUGAGAGGAUGAUCAGCCACACUGGAACUGAGACACGGUCCAGACUCCUACGGGAGGCAGCAGUGGGGAAUAUUGGACAAUGGGCGCAAGCCUGAUCCAGCCAUACCGCGUGGGUGAAGAAGGCCUUCGGGUUGUAAAGCCCUUUUGUUGGGAAAGAACAGCAGCAGGUUAAUACCCCGCUGUUCUGACGGUACCCAAAGAAUAAGCACCGGCUAACUUCGUG